AUUGAACGCUGGCGGAAUGCUUUACACAUGCAAGUCGAACGGCAGCACGGAUUCGGUCUGGUGGCGAGUGGCGAACGGGUGAGUAAUGUAUCGGAACGUGCCCAGUCGUGGGGGAUAACGCAGUGAAAAUUACGCUAAUACCGCAUACGAACUAUGGAUGAAAGCGGGGGAUCGCAAGACCUCGCGCGAUUGGAGCGGCCGAUAUCAGAUUAGGUAGUUGGUGGGGUAAAGGCGCACCAAGCCAACGAUCUGUAGCUGGUAUGGGAGGACGACCAGCCACACUGGAACUGAGGCGCGGUCCAGACUCCUACGGGAGGCAGCAGUGGGGAAUUUUGGACAAUGGGCGAAAGCCUGAUCCAGCCAUUCCGCGUGCAGGAUGAAGGCCCUCGGGUUGUAAACUGCUUUUGUACAGAACGAAAAGGUUUCUACUAAUACUAGGAGCUCAUGACGGUACUGUAAGAAUAAGCACCGGCUAACUACGUGCCAGCCGCCGCCGUAA
rnacentral:rRNA from 1 species